rnacentral:rRNA from 1 species
CUUGGUCAUUUAGAGGAAGUAAAAGUCGUAACAAGGUCUCCGUUGGUGAACCAGCGGAGGGAUCAUUACCGAGUUUACAACUCCCAACCCCUGUGAACAUACCUCAGUUGCUUCGGCGGACAGGUCUGGCUCCCGCUGGACUGCGCCCGCCGGGGACAUAAACCAUUGUUUUUACUUUAGUAUUCUCUGAGUGGUUUAAACAAAUAAAUCAAAACUUUCAACAACGGAUCUCUUGGUUCUGGCAUCGAUGAAGAACGCAGCGAAAUGCGAUAAGUAAUGUGAAUCGCAGAAUUCAGUGAGUCAUCGAAUCUUUGAACGCACAUUGCGCCCGCCAGCAUUCUGGCGGGCAUGCCUGUUCGAGCGUCAUUUCAACCCUCGCGCCCAUCCGGGCUGCGGUGUUGGGGCGGGCAGUUGGACGCAAGUCCGGCUGCCGCCCCCAAAUACAGUGGCGGCCUCGCUGCACUUGCUCUGCGUAGUAGCACACCUCGCAUUGCAAAGUAGCGCGCCCACGCCAUAAAACCCCCGACCCCCAUGAGUUUGACCUCGGAUCAGGUAGGAAUACCCGCUGAACUUAAGCAUAUCAAUAAGCGGAGGA